GACGAACGCUGGCGGCGUGCUUAACACAUGCAAGUCGAACGGAAAGGCCCGGCUUUUGUGGGGUGCUCGAGUGGCGAACGGGUGAGUAACACGUGAGUACCCUGCCCCUGACUGUGGGAUAACUUAAGGAAACAGGGGCUCUUACCGGGUAGGAGCUCUUGCUGCAUGGUGGGGGCGGGAAAGAUUCGGCGGUUGGGGAUGGACUCGCGGCUUAUCAGCUUGUUGGUGGGGUGGUGGGUGCCCAAGGCUUUGCCGGGUAGCCGGCCUGCGAGGGUGACCGGCCACAUUGGGACUGAGAUACGGCCCAGCCUCCUACGGGCGGCAGCAGUGGGGAAUAUUGCACAAUGGGCGGAAGCCUGAUGCAGCAACGCCGCGUGCGGGAUGACGGCCUUCGGGUUGUAAACCGCUUUCGCCUGUGACGAAGCGUGAGUGACGGUAAUGGGUAAAGAAGCACCGGCUAACUACGUG
rnacentral:rRNA from 1 species